GACGAACGCUGGCGGCGUGGUUAACACAUGCAAGUCGAACGGAAAGGCCCCUUUUGGGGUACUCGAGUGGCGAACGGGUGAGUAACACGUGAGUAACCUGCCCUUGACUUCGGGAGAACUUCAGGAAACUGGGGCUAAUACCGGAUAGGAAGCCUUGCUGCAUGGUGGGGGUUGUGAAGCUUUGGCGGUGUUGGAUGGACGCGCGGCUUAUCAGCUUGUUGGUGGGGUAGUGGCUUACCAAGGCUUUGAGGGGUAGCCGGCCUGAGAGGGCGACCGGCCACAUUGGGACUGGGAUACGGCCCAGACUCCUACGGGAGGCAGCAGUGGGGAAUAUUGCACAAUGGGCGGAAGCCUGAUGCAGCAACGCCGCGUGCGGGAUGACGGCCUUCGGGUUGGAAACCGCUUUCAGCAGGGGCGAAGCUUGUGGUGACGGUACCUGCAGAAGAAGCACCGGCUAACUACGUG
rnacentral:rRNA from 1 species